CGGUGUUUCUGCAGAGCACAAACUCAGGCUCUGCCUGCCACACAGAUGUGUAAUCUGUGAUUCCUUAACGGCAGAGUCCCGAUGUGACUGGGAACUGAUAAGCACAAGGACCAUAUCUGCCAUUCACCACAGAUCCUCAGCAUCUGGAGGAAGUAUAGAGCAGGGGCGACACACUAUGGGCUCCAGGCCAAACCUGGCCUACUGCUUGUUUCUACAAAUAAAGUUUUAUCAAAACACGGACCUGCUCAGUUGUGUUUAUACUACCUUUUGCAGCUUUUGCACCACGAUGAAAGAGUUGAGCUAGGCUGGUCCUAUGGUUCACAAAGCCUAAAAGAUUUUUCUAUCUUGCCCUAAACAGAAACCUGAAUACCGGCAAAGGAUCACUGACAAACUCACGCUUUGCUGAACGGCUGGGGGAAUAAAAAAAGAAAGGCCUGUGCCCUAGUUCAGCUCACUUUGGUCACAUGGGGCAGCAGAUGCACGGACAAAGGAAUCCCUGGGUUGGGGGGUGCGGUGACUUACAGCCUGCUGGCAGUCUUUUUGGAAGAAGGGGGGCCGAUCCACCAGGCAGGACAGCACAAACUCAGCCACGACCAGCGACAGACUCAGGUAAGUGGACAGGUGGCGCAGGGGGUCACGCUGGAAGUCCUGCAGGAGAGAAUGCAGAAGCCACGCUGGGCUGCAGCUGGCGAGGGGCCGAGGCAGCAGAAGGCGCCUGACUCACACAUAUUCCGUGUGAACAGGGGAAGUCAGACCAGCCACGGCGCUGGGACACUUGGAUGUUUUUCUUGUGGCAAAAGCUGCGCUUUUGAAUCUAAAGCGAAGUUUAGCUUUGCAGUUUGGGUCGGUACAGGCGGACUGUCCUCUACACCGGCCAGUGGGUGCGCACAGUCUUCCAGGCCUGCAGGAGGCAGAAGUGGUAGGUUUCCUUGCUGAGCAUGCGCCGUAGCUCUCUCUGCCCGAGGGAGCCUGGGCGUGGGGGGGCGUGGGG
rnacentral:lncRNA from 1 species